AUGUGCAUCAACACCAGAACCAUGUUCCUGAUCAUGGACGCUGUUGUGUCCCUCACCGGCUCUCUCCUUGCCAUCACCGACAGGGUUGUGCAGGCCACUACUCGCGCAACUACUUUGCAGUGUGGAGCAUGCCAUCGAGAUAGACCAAAAGAAGAACACCGCCGGCAACAACACCAAUGGGGGCCUCCCUGGUUUCCACCACCGCUGUUGCCAUCGUCUCCCUCCCCGCCGCCCCACACCACACUGCCAGAUAGGUCUGUGUGCUUUGCCCUUGCCCCCUGCUUAUUGCACUCAGGAUGUGUUGGUGCCAUGCUUUGCCUAUAUGUAAUCUCCUAUUCUGUUGUAAAAUUCUUUUUGCUUAUGAUUUCUUACUGUAGUGUGAAAUUUUAA
rnacentral:rRNA from 1 species